CCACGGCCCUAAAUUUAAACAGCUGGAUUAUCAUUCACAAACUGUCUUCUCAGCCUUUUGGAAAUGAGAGACUCCUGAUGAGAGAUGUGCAUUUCAUUUUUUGAACAGGACACAGUGUUCUGGACCUCGUUUAUGCUCCAUGUAAAUAGUCUUUUUUAAGAAGUGUGUGUUUAUCAUAUGCUACUGACACAGGUCACAGUAAACUCAUUUCCAUCAUGGGAGGUUUCCAGUGUGCAGAGGAGGUUCAGAAGAAUACAAGCCUUAUAACAAAACAACUCUGCUUCCAAGUUUUAAAUUCAAGUCAUGAAAAAUGUGGUGUGAAAGCAUUGCUAAAUUCCAUUUUAAACAUCUGAAGCUCAUAGGACAAACUUGGUCAAGGGAAGAGGAAGUGUACAAAAUAAGUGAGCCAAGAGUAGUGGCCUGUCAUCCAAGCCACUCAGGAGGCUGAGGCAAAAGGGUCACAAGUUCGGGGUUAGUCUCAGCAACUUAGUGAAACCCUGUAUCAAAAUAAAAUCUAAAAAGGUCAGGGGCUGUAGAUCAGUGGUAGAAUGCUCCAGGGUUCAAUCCCCAGUAGUGCAAUAAAUAAAACCAAGUGUGUCAGAUAUCAGGACUUAAGUCAGCAGCGUUUUUGCAGAGGAAACCACGCACCUGGAUGAUUUCCUAAAUUCUGUCUCAAUCAGGGAAAGCCAUGUGGAACCUGAAAACCUUGGAUUUAGGACAACUGCAGUAUUUGGGGAGAAGGAGACAUCUUUGCAUCCCGAACCCUACUCUCAGCAUCAAGGUCUUCAGAACCCUCAGGCUGAAGGUCCCAACCUGGAGAUACCAAGCACAGGGAUAUAUGCUGACAUACAAAGAUACCCAGAACAUUUUUACAUCUCUCUUUUUUUUUAAAGUCGAUUAAAUAAGGCUUGCUUCAGGUGCUAACCUGGUAGAAGAUCCAGUCUGAGCCAUGUUUUGGGGGAUCCUUUCUCUGCUCCCCUAUGGUCUCAUGCAGGCAGUCCUGGGCCAAGGCAGUUCAGAGACCCAUAGGAAGGGUCUGUGGUGCCCACCACUGGCCCAGGUGGCCCUCCCCAAGGUGGGGUGCAAUGCUUCUUCCUGACAGAGGCUCAGCUGCAGAUCUGAGCCGAAGAGCUCAGGUUUUCAGGUAGAGCUGGCAGCUCUCCGGGACACAUGUCCCGAGUGCCUGAUCCCAGAUCUGUCAGGCACACAGCAUACAAUGACACCCCCACCCUGUGGAAACGCCCAAAGGCCCAAACCCCAGUCACCACCCCGUCUCCAGUCAGCACCACUGGCCUCUUCCCGUCCACAGCAGCCUCCUGCCUUCCUCGGGGCACCAGCCGGAGCUGGGGAGCAACCCAGCCUGAGAGCUGCCCUCCCAACCAGAGGUAGCAGAGCCCUAGCCCAGGCUGUGCCAACCAGAUGCCCGAGGCCAAGCUGAGUCAUUUCAGCCCAGCUCUUGUCUGUUUUCUUUACCUACUUGCCAACGCUUAAAAAAAAAAAAUCUAGCAAUUUUAACUAAAAUCCAGUUUCCCACCUUCUAGUGAAAAAUAAAACCCAAAGCUAUCCAAUCCCAGGCCUGCAUUCUCAUGUGUCGUGACUUUAGAGCUGACUAGUGUUCCCUGCUUCGCCACAGUCUCCACUGCUCCCCACCGUGGCACAGGGACCCUUCACAGACUCUCUUAGUUGUAGUUGGACACAAUAUCUUUAUUUCAUCGUUUAUUUUUAUGUGGUGCUGAGGACUGAACCCAGGGCCUGGAGCAUGCUAGGCAAGCGCUCUACCGCUGAGCUCAGCCCCAGCCCGGACCUACUUGAUCUUUGUGAGAGUUGGACUUUGCCAUCCUCGAUCUUGGCCUUAAACGUUGGCUGCCUUUAAGAGAUCGGGAAAAGAAACAAUUGCCUUUCAUUCCUAUAAGUUUCUCAAAGCACAAGGCAAAAUUGACAUUCUAAUAGCUCAUCCUCUCGUUCACACCCAGAAGCCCUGACGGGACAGGGAACACUGAGCACCAGCAGCCACAAACCCUGCAGUCACACAUGGGGUCUGCACCUAACCCGUCCAUGUGUUGAAGAAACAAUUCCUCUGACACUUGCUAGAAUGGUUAAAAGGCAGACUUUGCUCAGGACGGUCGCAAUUGGUGUAGGGUCUACCCCACUGGGGUUUUGCAGUCGAGAAAAGACUGGUUCAAGUUCAUACUCAACUAGAGACAGUGAAAAUUUGUAUCUGAGGAAAAGGGCAAGGGGGUCUCAGGGGAUGGUACAUUAAGGUGGAAUCCAGAGGGAGGGGGACUCUAGCUGCCAGACCCAACAGGCUUCUCCAGGAAGGCAGACAUCUCCAGGGAGGUGGCAGGGAGUGAGGAGUUCAUGAGGACUUAAGUCAAAGCUGGUCCCCAUCCUGAGCACCCAGGCCACCAAGAGGCACAGCCCGCAAAUGGAGUCACCCAGGGAACACCCCAGGGAACUAAGCAGUAGGGACUCCACCCUCAACACAAGCAGACUCACUCUCACAUGCUCUGGAAUUUUCGCAGUACCCAGGAUGGGGUCGGGAGGGCGGCAGGUUGGAGGUCAACCCUUCAAAGCACAGGAGGGACUCAAGGUCAUUGCUUGGAGUGGAUGGGCUGUGGGCAGAGUGAGGACAGGGCUCCUUUUAAUGGAGGGAUUUGAAGAAGGAACCAGCUGUUGUCCUGACCAACUCCACUUUGUACCUCUAAUCUCUUCUUUCCUUUGAGCUAUUUCUCCUUCCCAGCUUCCUGCAGGCAAUCACCUCACGCUAGGAGUGGAGACGGCCCUCAACCCCUGGUGCCAGCAGGACCCCAGCAGGAUCCCACAGAGCCAGAGCUGCUGCAGACUCCGGGCUGGCCGUGCUGGCUGUGCAGGUGCACACCUCUGGGCUCCCUCUUGUCCUUCCCCUGGGUGACGCUGAGGCCGGUAUUGGUACAGGGAAGAGCUGGCUUUCUGGUCUGGCCAAACUGAAAUCAAUUCCUUUUCUGCUUCACCACCAUCUUCUCUUUCUGCUAUUUAGACUCUCAAGGUGAUGGCCAGACCUGGUCUGCUAAGGCCUCUGGCCAAGAAUUCUGAUAACAAAAGGAAUAACAGCGACAUUAGCAAGCAUUAAGCACUUUCUCCUUAAAACACUCCACGUAAGUCACUCUGUAAGUACGACUCAGCCCCCAAAUGAGGCAGGUGCUGUGCUAUCCCAUUUCACAGGAAGGAAACUGAGGUUUAAGCAAGGAACACCACUGGCCCUGGCCUUCAUGGUAGUGAAUGGUAGUGUUGGGAUUUGAACCUGAAGCUAGAAAGAACUCAAGGAAAGAGAGACAGAGAAACCAGAAGCCAGAAAGAUGAGAAGAGCCCUGAGAGGGAGGGUGUUUCCUCACCGGGGACCUGUGGAGAGGAAGACAGCGAAAGCAGUACCUGCUGCCCAGCCCUGGCCACCGAGGAUGGGAGGCUGAGCCUCAGAAGGGCCAGGAGAAUGGAGGAAGUGGAGGGGACAUUUCGCUGCACCUGAGGAGCCACGUCAAACCAUAGGGUGGUUAGGAAUGAAGGGCAGGUGAAGACGUAUAGACAGGGAGACCGGGACAUCUCUGCCAAGAAGCUGGGCUGCAGAAGAAAGAUCAGUGUCAACAAGCCCCUUCAACAUGCAAUAUCACCGUCAGGCCAGAAGAGAAGAGUCAAAGUCACCAGGAGCCCAAUCUGAGGUCACCUUCCCAUGACAUGCAGCAGGUUUGCUGUGGUGUGGACCAUUCAUCCCGAAUCCUCCUCUUCUCUAGAUCCUCAGUGGCAUUACUAGAGCAAACCUGAGGUCCCCUCCCACCCACCACCAUGCUGAAAGUACAUUUGCAAGUACAAUCUGGACAGCUCUGUGUGGUGACCCUCUGCGGAGACCAAGUAUGUCCUGCGACCAUCACUCAGUGUGUCUGAACUGCCACGAAUUGCAGUCCCCACACUCUAUGAGGCUCCUAAGACUUCAAAACAUCCACUGAAGACAUUCUCCAUAAAUGUACCAUUUUUGCCUUGGAAACAUCUUCCAUGUUUACAAAUCCAGUCUCCCAGAUCCCUGACCUCCAAGAAGUGAGGUUCCUUUUUUCCCACUUCCCCAACUGGACGGUCUCUCUCUCUCUCUCUCUCUCUCUCUCUCUCUCUCCCUCUCUCUCUCUCUCUUUUUUAGGAUAGAGAUAUGCUCAGGUUUACCUGAGGGGCAUUAAAUAUUAAUUUAAAAAAAAAACAUAAUGAGAAGUCAAGAUAAAGAUAAAUUACAAGAAAAGUGAUACUUUUUUUGCUUCCUCUCCUAUCUUUCUUUUCUUUAAUUUUCACAGUCCUCCUCUCAAGGAAAUCCACAGGGCUGGAAAGAUAGAGGAGACAAAGAGGUAGAGAAAAAUCUAGGGCAAAAACAAAAGUGGAGCUGCGUAGCAGUGUACUUGAAUGCUAAGCGGAGCCCUGGUUAAUCAAACACUUUGAAUGUGAUCCCUAAAACCAAUCUUUUUUUUUUCAUUAAUAGAAAACAAUGCCUACCAUCUGGUACUUUAUAGAAUGAGGGUGAAAUGGAAUUUGAAAACAUACUUUCAAAAAUAUUUUACGCAUAACGGAAGAGACCAAAAAUCUAGAGAAAGUAACUGAAAUAGGCUUCCCUACUUGCUUUUACACACUUGCUGAUGACGGCUUAGAAUUGAGCCUGAGAAAGGAAGGAACAUAAAGGAAAGGGGAGCCUUGCUCUCUAAUCCACCAUCCGUGAGAAUCCUGGGGCAAAGGAGGGACGGCAAGAGACAAGGACCAGUUUUGGGCUCAGGCCAGGGACCCUACUGUCCCUGCCUGGUACCUUCCUUCCCAGAGCAUUUUCCCACCUGCAAAGCUCCUUCCCGCAUCAAGCUCAUCUCGGGAAGGUCAGUUAUGGUGCUGUCAGUCAAAUACUCCCCAGCUUUCCUGGGUUCAGUUACUGCUACGUCUUUUUAGAUGGUAAUUUUAUGAUUCACUCAAAGACUUUCAAAAGAAAGAGGCUUUUAAGCAAUGAAAGAAUCAAUGGGGUUUAAAGUCCUGGCAAGCUGAUACUGAUCAGUCUCAGCAAGGUACAAAAGCAUGCUGCAGAACGGGUUUGGCUUGGAACUGAAACCACAUGUAGAAGAAAAUGUUUGCAAUAGAGGCAGGUGUCACUUCCAGAGGGAACUUAGCAAGGGGCCCACUUCCCAGUACAGUUUAUUUAUCUCAAGAGAUUUCUUCUCCUUGCACCGGCUCAUUAUCACAGAAGACUGGAAAGAAUCAGGAGAUGAAAACGCCCACAUUUAAAUAUUUAAGAUUAGUAUCAAAGCAAUAAAAGUUUUCUAUGAUUGAACCAAAUAUAUUAAGUUUCAGUGAAGAAUUAUUUAUAACCAGGUUCCUGCAAGGCACCCAGGGCAGGAAGUGGUUGAUUCUGCAGACUUCAUUUCUUUAUUUCCCUCCUUCACUUAAAAUAACAUAUUUCAAACAUACCAAAGGCAUAAAAAGUAAUACAAUCAACACCUUUUAUUUUCUAACACCCAUCUUAGGAAACAGAACACACCAAAGCAGUUCCCAGUAUGACCCUAACCCUAGACAGACUUCUCCCCACCCACUCUCCCUUCAGGCAGCAACUCCUGUCCUGAAUUGGUCCUUCCCAGUUCCACAGACUUCUUUUAUUACAUAUGUAAAUAUUGUUAACCACAAUUUAGGCCUUACAAGGUGUGCUUUAGAUCUUUAUUUGCAGAGCUGCCCAAAGGUGUGAGGGGUUCAAGAAGAUAUAUUUUUUUGCAGGACUCCUGUCUACAGAAACAAUUUGAGUUGCCCAAAACAGUGUGACAGUACCAUUCUGGCAGCCCCAUCUAGUGUUCCGCCACCAGCCAACAGCAGCCCCAGCCAACUGCACCAGCCAAAGGGAGCAAUGUGCUCCCAGGGCUUCCUGGAACCUGAGCUGGGCACAUCCAGAGCUGCCUGGCAUCUUUUCAGCCCCAGGAAUUGUGCAGGAGGUAGAGAAGAAGCAGGUCCAUGCAGGUCUCUGUUAAAGCUUACAGCACCUGCCCAGAGAGCGGCCAGGCCCAGCUGGGGAGAAGUGGAACCCAGCACCCCUGCCCAGGCUAAGACAUGCAUACUCUGCCCUUCAUAUUCUGCUCAACAUGGUGAAAUUUGCCCACGCUGGCCGCUGCAGCUCCACUCAGUCAUCACUGUCAUUUAGCAUCCUAGCCUACCAACAGACUCCUUAUUAAUCCAUCCUCCCCAUGGCCGGCAUUUUGCUUGUCCCCAUUUUCCAUUAUGAAAGAAAAAUACUUCGACUCCUCUUCUCCAUGUCUCCUGUAGGAACUGAGGGGAAUCUUAAUCAACUUUCCAGAUUUCAACCAUUUCACUUGCUUUUGGUUACUUGCCUUUAGUUGACCACCAGUUGUCAACUACACUCCGCAAAUAAUAUGCUGUCAGACCCCCGGAAUUUUGCUAUGGUAACACCUCCAAGUGUCAUCCUGAUGGUAAUGGUUGUCAAACUUGUUGUCAGAAACUUGGAGGCCACCUUGAUCCAGCUCAAACUGGUUCAAAGUACUGACCCUUCCCUUGGGCCUAUGCAAGUGUCCCACGGGGACUUCUUUCACAUCAGAGGGCCAAAACCUCCACCGUCAGAUCAUGUUAAGUUCCACUUUCUGAACAUGCAUCCUGUGGAAAGUCGUGAAGUUUAAUUGCACAUGCGCGGACCUAACCUCCAGUCACCUGUCCCCUGCUGUGGACCACCCUGCUUCCCGAUGGCCUAGGUAUCCCUAGUCCUUGUCCUUGGAGGGGCAGAUUUGAGACUUGCCCUCUUGUCUUCUUCGGCUUGUGAAUAAACUUUCUCUUCUCAGAUCUUGUCAUUGUAGUGACCGGUGUCGUGCGCCACAGGCAAAGAGGACCCUGGUUCCAUAACACUGUCACCUUGAGAAAGAAAAUGCAGAUGCUGGUUCCAGGAAGGCAAGGUCCCUCUGGAUGUUCUGGGAAGGAAAAGGAGAGGAAGGCCCUGCCCAGCGCAGGGUUCCUGCCCACUGGCCCACUCGCCAUUCCUGCCUUUUCUCCUCUGAGCCCAGGAAGAUAGAGACUUGAGAUGAAAAAGCCCAGUCUGAUUUUAAUAAAACGAUUUCCUUCCACCGACCUCUGUGUGCCAAGUGAGGAUGGAGCAGAGAGCGGCUCUCCACAUUCGGUCCAGAUGCGGUCGACAGAGGUGGCGUGGGGACCCGGUGGGACCUUUAAGAGGCAGAGAGAGCCUCCAGGGAGGUCCUUAGAUCUCUGGAGGCCUAAGGCAGUUCUGUGAGACCCUGGAGAAGUUUGUUACAAAAAGAGCAAGCCUGUCCCCUCCCGUGCAUUCUUGCUGCUCCCUACCUGUCUGCUACACCAUUUCCAAUACCAAGUAGCCAAAACUGUGAGUUAAAUAAGCCUUUUUUUUUUCUUUAUGAAGUUAGCUGCCUCAGGCAUUUCACUGUAGUGUUGAAAAACUGACUGAUACCGGUUUACACUUAAAAGAGGAAUUAUCUGAUCUUAUGAAAUGUUUAAUAUUUUUAACUUUAUUAGAUAUUUUCCAUUAUUCUACCAAGUGAUUAACAAUUUGUACUCUCAUUAGUAUCAAUUGCUUCAUAUCCACAUCAAUAGCUGGUAUGGUCAGAUUUUGAAUUUUUAUCAGUCUGAAGGAUGUGGAAUGGUAUUUCAUUGCGAUAUUAAUAUUCAUUUUCCUGAUUACUAUUAGUUUUUUAUGUUAAUUUAGCUUUUAAAAAUUUCUUUUAGUGAAUUGCCUAUCUUUCCUAUUAGGUUAUUCCUUUUUAGUAUUAGUUCUUCAUCUAUUGUGGAUAUUUCAUAUAACCUGCUACAAAUAUUUGUUAGUGAAAUGUAUUGCACAUGUCUUCUCAGGGCCAAUGACUAAUUAUUCUUGAAUUUUGUCUUUUUGAUGCACAGGUCUUAAAUGUAAUGUCAAUGAAGUUAUUAAUCUUAUUUUUGUAAUUUAUGCUUUUUGUGACUUGUAAGAAAUCUUUCUGUAACCUGAGGUGAUAAGCAUUUACUUGUAAAAACUGAAAGUUUUUCCUUUCUCUUUUCUUUUUCUUUCUUCCUUUUUUCUUUAUCUUGGCAAUACUGGGGACUGAACCCAUAAACACUUAACCACUGAGUUACAUCCUUAGCCCUUUAUUUUACUUUAAUAUCUUCUUUUGAGACAGGGUCUUGUAAAGUUGUCCAGGCUGCUCUCCAACUUGGGAGCCUCCUGCCCCAGCCUCCUGGGUCGCUGGAAUUCCAAGUAUGUGCUACCAUGCCCAACUUGCCUUUCCUUUUGAGACCUUUAAUCCACCUUGGAAUUGAUUUUUACUCACAAUAUGGAGAUUCAAAUUUAUUUUUAACCAAAUGAGUAGCCAACUGUGGGACACCUCUGUUGUUCUGUCCCCACUGACAUUUCACACCUCUCUUUGGUUACCAGUGUCCAUAUAUGCACGAGUAUUUUUCUGUGCUUCCCACUCUAGAGCAUUCGUCUACUAGUCUAAGUCAUCACCAAUACCACUCUCAAUUCUUAGACUACUCUAAUAAUAGUUACACUUGGUAGAGUAAUCCCAAAUCUGUGCUUCUUCUAGCUAUUUUCGGUUCUUUGCUUUUCUACAGAAAUGUAAAGUCAACUUUUCAAGAUCCGAGAAAUCUGAGGGCAGUGACCCACACCUACCAUCCCAGUGACUCAGGAGGUUGAAGCAGGAGGAUUGGAUUGUACAUUCGAGGCCACCCUGGGCAAGACCCACAGCAAGUUAGAGAGACCCUGUCUCAAAAUUUUAAGAAAUAGAAUAAAAAUGAAUGGGGAUGUGGUUCAGUGGUAAAGUGCCCCUGGGUUUGAUCCCCAGUACCAAAAAAAGAAAAACGUAAUCCAGAUGGUCUUGGGGAUGGUCUUUAGGAAACUGUGUCUUCUUGUCUAUUGGCCAGGUGUGUGUUUUCUCAUCUUUUCACUUUUGGCCUUUUGCAGUCUCUGUAAAUAGCAUCAAACAGACUUGUCACAAGCUGAAGACCUGUUUUUAGAGGCAAGUAUGAUCUAUCAAUAUUAAGGUGGAUUUGGAAUUAUUUCCUAUUUGCUUUCUUUUUCCCUAACUUAUUCUAUAUUCCUACUUCCACCACCGCCUUAUUUGGAUUGAUUGAGGAUUUUAUUUAGUUGCUUUUCCCACCCACAUUGGAUUCAAAUGUACAUACUUUAAUUUGAUGGUUCUGAAAUGUUAGGGCUCAGAAUUCCCUGCAGGGAUGCUUAAAACAGAUUGCUGAUCUCCACUGCAGAGUUUCGAAUGUAGGUUGCUGGGAUGGAGCCAACAAUUUACAUUUCCAAAAUCAUCAUCAUCAUCAUCAUCAUCAUCAUUAUCAUCAUCAUCAUCCCUGCUUCCUACAGGUAACCAUCUCAUGCUGAGAAGAGAAGCUGAAUGGAAACUGCACCCCCAUCCCAGAAGUCCUGGGAUCAAUGGAGCCUGCAAAACCAAAAUAGCAACGUGCCUCUCAGCUGGAAGUUCCCACAGCUUGACACGAUAUACAUACAUGUAUUUCUUGGCUCCCUGCUUUUGUUCUCUUCCUAUAUAUUCCUAAAGCUGAUAUUGGUUCAGGGAAAACAGAUAUUAAGACUGGCUAUCUUCUGAUUUGAGCCAAACUGCAAAUAAAUUCAUUUCUUGAUUCACCA